AGGUGAGGUGGGAAGUGGGGGCCUCGUGGUUUUUGGGUUCUCUCUUCUUUGAAAGAAACGUCACUCUUUUUCUGUCUACAGCCAAAGUAAAAGUUGUUUUUAUUUCAUUGUUGCCAAAGUGAAAUAAGGACACUUUGUUAAAACUGAAUCGCUAGUUUUAUAUGAUUAAAGGUUCUUGUGGAGUCUACAUUGAGGGCUAGGUGGUGGGGUGGUGGUGGGGGGCGGUGGUGCUGAUUCAAAG
rnacentral:misc_RNA from 1 species